UACAGAGGGUGCGAGCGUUAAUCGGAAUUACUGGGCGUAAAGCGCGCGUAGGCGGCUUUGCAAGUCGGGUGUGAAAUCCCCAGGCUUAACCUGGGAACUGCAUUCGAGACUGCAUUGCUAGAGUAUGGGAGAGGGAAGUGGAAUUUCCGGUGUAGCGGUGAAAUGCGUAGAUAUCGUAAGGAAGACCAGUGGCGAAGGCGGGUCUCUGGACAGUUCCUGACGCUGAGGCACGAAGGCCAGGGGAGCAAACGGG
rnacentral:rRNA from 1 species